CCUACGGGUGGCAGCAGUGGGGAAUAUUGGACAAUGGGCGAAAGCCUGAUCCAGCCAUGCCGCGUGUGUGUAGAAGGCCUUCGGGUUGUAAAGCACUUUCAGUGGGGAAGAAAGCCUUGGGGCUAAUACCCUCGAGGAAGGACAUCACCCACAGAAGAAGCACCGGCUAACUCCGUGCCAGCAGCCGCGGUAAUACGGAGGGUGCGAGCGUUAAUCGGAAUUACUGGGCGUAAAGCGCGCGUAGGCGGUCUGAUAAGCCGGUUGUGAAAGCCCCGGGCUCAACCUGGGAACGGCAUCCGGAACUGUCAGGCUAGAGUGCAGGAGAGGAAGGUAGAAUUCCCGGUGUAGCGGUGAAAUGCGUAGAGAUCGGGAGGAAUACCAGUGGCGAAGGCGGCCUUCUGGACUGACACUGACGCUGAGGUGCGAAAGCGUGGGUAGCAAACAGGAUUAGAUACCCUGGUAGUC
rnacentral:rRNA from 1 species